ACAGUAUAAAAAUUGAGGCUCACGGCCAGAAGACAUUCUCAAAAUGACUUGCUAGACAUGCUGUCAGAGCGGUCAUAGAGAAUCCAACGAACCAGCAACUUGACAGCUGAGACCGUUCAAGAGCCAGAGAACUAGCUCUUGCCUGCGGAUCAACACUUGCUGAUCCAGAGGCUUACAUCGAGAGCCACGGACCAUUAUCAGAUAAGUAUGGUUCUCAACCUGUACCAAAGAAACUUGUCUUUGCAAGAGACCACUACAGAAAACCGCAACUAAGAGAUCAGGAGCUGUGUGGCGGCCAGUCCAGCUGGCACACGUACGACGUAUUCUCACACAGCAGGCUCAGGAGUCACUGUGGAAGACUGAGUGAAAAGACGGUCAAAGAAAGACAGGAAGGUCGCCAUGCGGUUGUGACUGCUAAGAAUGCUGCUAGAGAGACAACACCCAUGAAAUGUCAUGGCUUCCUAAACAAAACCUGAACACCACCAACAGUGGGCGCUCUAACACGACCGGGGAAAGCUCAUGGGGGGGGGGGGGGGCCCGAGCCUAAACCCUAGACAAAGACCGACGAGCAACUGGGAAAUGCUGAGAGUGAGAAAUGAUCUUCCUCAGGGAAGAGCCUUCCCCUUCCUUGUUGGAAACCACCUAUUUUGUUGGUAAAAAUGCAAGGUGUGUCCCUUUAGAACAUAAUUUGGCAGCUUCUCACAAAGUCACACCUCAUCAAAAUACCACAGCACAAAAUGACCCAUUGUCUCUAUUUACCCACGCUUUCAGGGAAAUCCCAUACUCUCAAAAAUCCAGGAAAAUCGACCCCAGGAAAAUUCAGUGUAUUGUCUAUCAGCCCAGAUCCUGGAUACUUACUCAAACACAAGAGCAUGCAUUCACACAAUAACUAUUUCUUAGAUGCCUACGGAGGCUGCAUUUUUAAAAGCUGAACACUGGAAACAAUCCAAUCACCAGCAGCUGAUGAAUGGGAAACAAAUUAUGGGACAUCCGUACAAUGGACUCCCACUAAGUUAUCAGAGGAGUGAUCUGCUAGAUGAAUCUCAGAAUCACACCAAAUGAAAGCAACCAGACACAAAAAAACACUAUGUUCUGAAUUCUUCUGAUUAUAUGAAAUUCAACAAAAGGCAAAAUUACAUGGCAGGAAGCAGAUCAAUGGUUCUAGAAGAUUGUGAUUAAAAAAAAAAAGAAGAAGAAGGAAUCAGCUGUGGAGGGGCCAAAGGGAAGCUAUGGAAGUGCUGACAUUAUGGUUAUGGUGGAGCGAUGUAUUGGAUGAAAUUUAUCAAGUUGUAACCUUUAAAAUUAAUGAAUUGUACUGUAAGGUAAACUUCAAAAAGUCAUUAAAAAAUAAAGGAAUGGCAUCAAAGAGCUGGA